UACGUGAGGUGCAAGCGUUGUCCGGAAUUAUUGGGCGUAAAGAGCUCGUAGGCGGUCUGUCGCGUCUGCUGUGAAAACCUGGGGCUUAACCCCGGGCCUGCAGUGGGUACGGGCAGACUAGAGUGUGGUAGGGGAGACUGGAAUUCCUGGUGUAGCGGUGAAAUGCGCAGAUAUCGGGAGGAACACCGGUGGCGAAGGCGGCCCCCUGGUUGGAUACUGACGCUGAGACGCGAAAGCGUGGGGAGCAAAACAGG
rnacentral:rRNA from 1 species